rnacentral:lncRNA from 1 species
CGAAUAAAAGAAAUCUGAUUUGGAUUAGUUUUAGACUCAAUGGAAUUUUUAACGACUUUUUGAUUAUCUAUUCCUAUAAAGCGACUAUUUUUGGAUCGAAUUUAAUGAGGAUCAAAAACAGGGGGGGGUAGCUUUAGAACCAUCAGACUUCAUUUAGAUAGACGUAUCUUAAAAAUUAAUACAGUAGAUAAAAAGGAAUUUGGGGGG